GGCUCGGUAGCUUAGUUGGUAAAGCGCUCGUCUAGCAUACAAGAGUCCUGGGUUCAAAUCCCAGCCGAGCCA
rnacentral:tRNA from 1 species